rnacentral:rRNA from 1 species
GACGAACGCUGGCGGCGUGCUUAACACAUGCAAGUCGAACGGAAAGGCCCUGCUUUUGUGGGGUGCUCGAGUGGCGAACGGGUGAGUAACACGUGAGUAACCUGCCCUUGACUUUGGGAUAACUUCUGGAAACUGGGGCUAAUACCGGAUAGGAGCUCCUGCUGCAUGGUGGGGGUUGGAAAGUUUCGGCGGUUGGGGAUGGACUCGCGGCUUAUCAGCUUGUUGGUGGGGUAGUGGCUUACCAAGGCUUUGACGGGUAGCCGGCCUGAGAGGGUGACCGGCCACAUUGGGACUGAGAUACGGCCCAGACUCCUACGGGAGGCAGCAGUGGGGAAUAUUGCACAAUGGGCGGAAGCCUGAUGCAGCAACGCCGCGUGCGGGAUGACGGCCUUCGGGUUGUAAACCGCUUUUGCCUGUGACGAAGCGUGAGUAACGGUAAUGGGUAAAGAAGCACCGGCUAACUACGUG